UACGUAGGUGGCGAGCGUUAUCCGGAUUUACUGGGUGUAUAGGGCGUGUAGGUGGUUCUGUAAGUAGGGCGUGAAAGCUCCCGGCUCAACUGGGAGAGGCCGUUCUAAACUGCAGAGCUAGAGGAUGGUAGAGGGAGGUGGAAUUCCAGGUGUAGCGGUGGAAUGCGCAGAUAUCUGGAGGAACACCAGUGGCGAAGGCGGCCUCCUGGACCAUUCCUGACACUCAGACGCGAAAGCUAGGGUAGCAAACGGGAUUAGAUACCCCGGUAGU
rnacentral:rRNA from 1 species